UGCUGCCUUGGGCAAACUUAUCGAAAGGUAAGGACGCAAUGCCACGGGGCUAAUGGAUUUCCGAUGCUAGCCGGGCUGCCGGU
rnacentral:ncRNA from 1 species